GAGUGACGUCGUAACUUCGGUUGUUUCACCUUCUUUGAUCAUGAUUGGUUAAUCUGACUGUCAUCUAUGUAACUGGCCAAUGACAACUGUGCGCGCCUUUUUACUGGUCAAGUUUGAAAAAUCAAAUACAUUUGAGUUGAUGACGACGGCUGCUCAGCAAGAUUACUCGGUCUUUCAAUUAUUAUUUUGAACUAAUUUGCGAUGUGACAUGUAAACGAAGGAGAACAGAAGAUGUGAACACACAGAAGACGCUCAGACUGGAUGCGUGAGAUCCUGCAAUAUUGGCGAUCAGCACUGGAAGAAGAUUUUUGGGGGGAGAGCAGGCACC